rnacentral:misc_RNA from 1 species
GAUGAAGAACGUAGCAAAAUGCGAUACUUGGUGUGAAUUGCAGAAUCCCGUGAACCAUCGAGUUUUUGAACGCAAGUUGCGCCCGAAGCCAUUCGGCUGAGGGCACGUCUGCCUGGGCGUCACGCAUCGCGUCGCUCCCACCAUACCUUCCUUCGGGAUGCUAGGUUGGGGGCGGAUAAUGGCCUCCCGUUCCUCACGGAGUGGUUGGUCAAAAUAAAAGUCCCCUUUGAUGGAUGCACGACUAGUGGUGGUUGACAAAACCCGGUAUUGUGUCGUGUGUCUUGUCAAAAGGGUGCAACUUAAUAGACCCAACGCGUUGUCAUGAAACAACGCAUCGACCGCGACCCCAGGUCAGGCGGGACUACCCGCUGAGUUUAAGCAUAUCAAUAAUAACGGAGGA